UGAGGAAUCUUCCGCAAUGGGCGAAAGCCUGACGGAGCAACGCCGCGUGAGUGAAGAAGUAUUUCGGUAUGUAAACUUCUAUCGACAGGGAAGAAAGAAAUGACGGUACCUGAAUAAGAAGCCCCGGCUAACUUCGUGCCAGCAGCCGCGGUAAUACGAAGGGGGCAAGCGUUGUUCGGAAUUACUAGGCGUAAAGCGCACGCAGGCGGCGUGACGCGUCAGAAGUGAAAUCCCCGGGCUCAACCUGGGAACUGCUUUUGAAACGGUCAUGCUUGAAUCAUGGAGAGGGUAGCGGAAUUCCGAGUGUAGAGGUGAAAUUCGUAGAUAUUCGGAAGAACACCGGUGGCGAAGGCGGCUACCUGGCCAUGUAUUGACGCUCAGGUGCGAAAGCGUGGGGAGCAAACA
rnacentral:rRNA from 1 species